UACGAAGGGGGCUAGCGUUGUUCGGAAUUACUGGGCGUAAAGCGCGCGCAGGCGGUUUGUCAAGUCAGUGGUGAAAGCCCGGAGCUCAACUCCGGAACUGCCAUUGAAACUGUGAAACUUGAGGACGAGAGAGGUGAGUGGAAUUCCCAGUGUAGAGGUGAAAUUCGUAGAUAUUGGGAAGAACACCAGUGGCGAAGGCGACUUACUGGACACAUAUUGACGCUGAGGUGCGAAAGCGUGGGGAGCAAACAGG
rnacentral:rRNA from 1 species